AUCAUCUCAUCCCUCGAGCCACUGAUCUUCGCACAGAUAUUUUCCUUUCCAUUUUAUGGUUAACGUUGGGGAAAUGGUCCUGGGUUAUCUGACCCUUAAUCUGUGGUGGGAAACGUGUUAUUCCUCAGGCGUCUUUGCUUCUCGACAAACACAGAGAGAUUUGAGAUUGCGCUACUUUUCCAGGGAGAUGGACUGGACUGUUGAACCAGAGUGUCUGAGAUUAGGCAGUGCCCCGUUACCCUCCUGCAGCAUCCAAGAGUCGCAGAUCCUAGC